AACGUAGGAGACAGACGUUAUCCGGAGUUACUGGGCGUAAAGGGCGUGUAGGUGGUUAAGUAAGUCUGGCGUGAAAUUUUCCGGCUUAACCGGGACAGGUCGUCGGAUACUGCUUAACUAGAGGACGGUAGAGGCGUGUGGAAUUCCGGGUGUAGUGGUGAAAUGCGUAGAGAUCCGGAGGAACACCAGUGGCGAAGGCGACACGCUGGGCCGUACCUGACACUGAUGCGCGACAGCAUGGGGAGCAAACAGG
rnacentral:rRNA from 1 species